AUUGAACGCUGGCGGCAGGCUUAACACAUGCAAGUCGAGCGAGCGGCGGACGGGUGAGUAAUGUCUGUGAAACUGCCUGAUGGAGGGGGAUAACUAUUGGAAAAGGUAGCUAAUACCGCAUACCAUCAGAUGUGCCCAGAUGGGAUUAGCUAGUAGGUGGGGUAAUGGCUCACCUAGGCGACGAUCCCUAGCUGGUCUGAGAGGAUGAUCAGCAGUACGGUAACUGAGACACGGUCCAGACACCUACGGGAGGACGCAGUGGGGAAUAUUGCACAAUGGGCGCAAGCUUGAUGCAGCCAUGCAGCGUGUGUGAAGAAGGCCUUCGGGUUGUAGAGCACUUUCAGCGAGGAGGCGUUACUCGCAGAAUAAGCACCGGCUAACUCCGUGCCAGCAGCCGCGGUAAUAC
rnacentral:rRNA from 1 species